CCUGCCUCAUAGACUGGGACAACUAUUGGAAACGAUAGCUAAUACCGGAUAACAGCAUUAACUGCAUGGUUGAUGUUUAAAAGUUGGUUUUGCUAACACUAUGAGAUGGCUUUGCGGUGCAUUAGCUAGUUGGUGGGGUAAAGGCCUACCAAGGCGACGAUGCAUAGCCGACCUGAGAGGGUGAUCGGCCACACUGGGACUGAGACACGGCCCAGACUCCUACGGGAGGAGCAGCG
rnacentral:rRNA from 1 species